rnacentral:rRNA from 1 species
UUCCUUGAGGAGUGGCUUCCGGAGCUAACGCGUUAAGUCGACCGCCUGGGGAGUACGGCCGCAAGGUUAAAACUCAAAUGAAUUGACGGGGGCCCGCACAAGCGGUGGAGCAUGUGGUUUAAUUCGAUGCAACGCGAAGAACCUUACCUACUCUUGACAUCCAGAGAACUUAGCAGAGAUGCUUUGGUGCCUUCGGGAACUCUGAGACAGGUGCUGCAUGGCUGUCGUCAGCUCGUGUUGUGAAAUGUUGGGUUAAGUCCCGCAACGAGCGCAACCCUUAUCCUUUGUUGCCAGCGGUUCGGCCGGGAACUCAAAGGAGACUGCCAGUGAUAAACUGGAGGAAGGUGGGGAUGACGUCAAGUCAUCAUGGCCCUUACGAGUAGGGCUACACACGUGCUACAAUGGCGCAUACAAAGAGAAGCGACCUCGCGAGAGCAAGCGGACCUCAUAAAGUGCGUCGUAGUCCGGAUCGGAGUCUGCAACUCGACUCCGUGAAGUCGGAAUCGCUAGUAAUCGUAGAUCAGAAUGCUACGGUGAAUACGUUCCCGGGCCUUGCACC